rnacentral:lncRNA from 1 species
AGAGAGAGGCCUGGUAUAAGGGAGGAAAAAAGGAUUCUGAAAGCAAAGGUUGUUCGUUCUUGAAAAAUUCAACGUCAUUUCGUGCCCUCCUCCUACGGAGGAUUGUUUUAUGGAAACAGCAGCGGAUAGAGGGGAAAGAGGGGAGUUUGUAAAUUUAGAUUAACCCGCGGUUUUUCCCUCAAUGAUUCUCUUGUUUCCUAAAAUUUUUCCUUUUUCAAUAUUCUUCUUCGCUCGAAUAAUUAUUAAAUUUCAAUGGAGAGCGGCAUUAUUAGAUAGUUUCAAAUUUUAAAACGAAAGUUAAAAUGUUAAGUAACGUAUCGUGGAUAUUUAUAUUUGGAUUAAAUUGAUCUGUACAAUUGAGUUAGAAAUCUUUCAGAAGAAGAAUGAAAACUGUGCUGUGUUCAUCGAAUUUGAUUCGAAUCAUUGAUUUCGGGGAUAAAAAGAAACGGCAAAAUCACGUUUCCGGAGAAUUAUCGAAGUUCGAAGGAAAAAAUCGUGUGAAUAAUUCGUAGACCGAUUUAAACUGUAAUGAAAGAAGUGUAGAAAGAUAGGUAACCCAUUCUUAAUUCCUUCGUUAUGACAGCAAUGAAGCAUAACGCGAGUAAAUGACAUGGCAUAUUUUCCGAGAGAAACGUUCAUUAUCGGCGCAGAUUUAUAAUUAAUUUUUGCAAUGGUUUCAGGGUCAUCCGGGUGGAAUCGAGUCUUGAAAUCGUUCCAGUUCGAUGGAGCCUAUCUUUUUUUCAUCUUGAAGAAUCUCGAAGGAUCGUUUUAAGAAAUAUUUUGCUCGAAAAUGCAAAUUGCAUUCAAAAUUACAAUUAUUAUUUACCAAAUCUUUACCUUAAAUUUUAUAAAAAUAUCAUACAAUUGAUUGGCUCGUUUCAUCGGAUUCAAUUCAUUUACAUCAAAUUCAAAUGCUAAUCGGAUUUUCAUUUUAAUUGCCUGCUCGUUUGGCCCCUUCCUCCGAUACCAACAUCUCCAUUUCCCAACAAAAUUUCUUUCUCCCCCCUUUUCUUUUUAUACCGGCCGAACGCGUUUCGCUUCCUCGAUAAAAACCAAGCCACCCCCUCCAUCCUCCCCGAGGGCCGGAGAAUCGUCAAAGAAUUUUUUCUUUUCUCCCCCUUCUCCCUCAAGGGCACGGUUAAACAGGCGAAAAGAAAUAUGCGAACGAGGAGAGUUUGUAAGAAAAUCAUACAAUCGCCUUAAUGGCUAGAGGGAGAGACCGAUGGCCGUAGGCGCAUAAUGGUGUUGAUUACUAAUUACAAUUAUUGGGCAGCGAGGGUACGAUCGAUCCUCCCCCUAUCCAGCUUCGAAUACCUUCCCCUCGCCACCACCAGAAGCGUGUUCGAGAUCGCGGCCAGCUAAUUGCAUUAUACGUGUCAAUAUCCUGGAGUAGUUCUCCUUCCAAUGGGGUUGGCAACUUCGAGAGGGGAUGGGGAGAAGGGGAUUAUUGGAAAUUCGAAAAACCGAGACGCGUUCGUCCCCCCAUUAAUUAAUAUUAAAACGAACGAAAUUCCGUUCAAAAACACCGUGCAAAAAUUCGGCUGGUGC